AUGGUAAGCCCUGUCUCACCACACUGCGAGUUCGUGGGUUCAUGGAGCGUUUGGGCGUGUAUAAGUAAAAACUUUUCUCAUAUCAGGCAAUGGGUAUUGGAUUGGAUAUCUAAAGACUCGGAGUUCCACUUGAUGAUAUUUGCAGUAGCUAUGCGGCACAUUUGGGACAACAGGAAUUCUUGCCGAAAUGGUGAGGCCUUACCUCAUCCAUUGCGUGUAUCUGGAAAGAUUAAAGCUUAAAUUCAUUUUAUUUUGUUGAACAAUGUCAGAUCAGAAGACUCCAAUAGGCGUGAGACCUUGAAGCCAAUCAAGAAAUGGGCUCCGCCAUCGGAGGGCCUAAUGUUGAUCAAUGUAGACGCUGCGAUCUUCUCCAAUACUAGAAAAUCUGGGUAUGGCAUUGUCAUGCGUAAUCAUCUUGGGGUUAUGCAAGCUGCUCGUCGAGGCCUUGUUGAUCAUGUGCAAUGCCCCGAAGUUGCUGAAGCAGUGGCUAUACUCCAGGCGCUCAAACUGGCCGAAAGCAUAGGAGUUCAGUCAGUCAAAGUGGAGUUUGAUUGUCUUUCACUUGUUAACAAACUGCAACAGUAGGGGCUGGAUAGGACUUCAACAGGUGCCAUUGUUCAUGAUAUUAAAUUGAGAGCCAAAAAGUUUGUAUCAUGUCGAGUAUGUAAUGAGGCAGCCCAUGUUCUAGCCAAGUCGGCAGAACAUGAUUAUGGAUCCUGUUGGUUAAAUGAGCCUCCUGAGAUAAUCAAGGCAAUUAUUUGUACUGAACAAUUAAGGAAUGAAUGA
rnacentral:rRNA from 1 species